UGUAUGCAUGCAUGACUAAGUCGCUUUGGAUAAAAGUGUCUGCUGAAUGACAUACA
rfam:Salmo salar isolate Sally breed double haploid chromosome ssa14, whole genome shotgun sequence.